CAGUAGCCACGGUAAAACGAAGGGUGCAAGCGUUACUCGGAAUUACUGGGCGUAAAGCGUGCGUAGGUGGUGGUUUAAGUCCGUUGUGAAAGCCCUGGGCUCAACCUGGGAAUUGCAGUGGAUACUGGGUCACUAGAGUGUGGUAGAGGAUAGUGGAAUUUCCGGUGUAGCAGUGAAAUGCGUAGAGAUCGGAAGGAACAUCUGUGGCGAAGGCGACUAUCUGGGCCAACACUGACACUGAGGCACGAAAGCGUGGGGAGCAAACAGGAUUAGAGACCCCGGUAGUCCCUGUCUCUUAUAC
rnacentral:rRNA from 1 species